rnacentral:rRNA from 2 species
CGAGUUCUGAUUAUUGAAAGGUGCUUGCAUCUUGAUUUAAUUUUGAACGAGGUGGCGGACGGGUGAGUAACACGCUGGGUAACCUGCCCUUAAGUGGGGGAUAACAUUUGGAAACAGAUGCUAAUACCGCAUAAAUCCAAGAACCGCAUGGUUCUUGGCUGAAAGAUGGCGUAAGCUAUCGCUUUUGGAUGGACCCGCGGCGUAUUAGCUAGUUGGUGAGGUAACGGCUCACCAAGGCAAUGAUACGUAGCCGAACUGAGAGGUUGAUCGGCCACAUUGGGACUGAGACACGGCCCAAACUCCUACGGGAGGCAGCAGUAGGGAAUCUUCCACAAUGGACGCAAGUCUGAUGGAGCAACGCCGCGUGAGUGAAGAAGGCUUUCGGGUCGUAAAACUCUGUUGUUGGAGAAGAAUGGUCGGCAGAGUAACUGUUGUCGGCGUGACGGUAUCCAACCAGAAAGCCACGGCUAACUACGUGCCAGCAGCCGCGGUAAUACGUAGGUGGCAAGCGUUAUCCGGAUUUAUUGGGCGUAAAGCGAGCGCAGGCGGUUUUUUAAGUCUGAUGUGAAAGCCCUCGGCUUAACCGAGGAAGUGCAUCGGAAACUGGGAAACUUGAGUGCA